AGACUGCUGGUGAAGAUGUCAUAAAACCAGUCUCCACACAGAAGCAGGUUUUGGAAGGAAAAGAUGUUACACUGAUCUGCAACUACACCGAAGCUGUUCAAAAUUUACAAUGGUAUCGUCACUAUCCCGGAUCCAAACCUGAGCACCUCAUCACGUUCUUUGAGACCACACAGAGCACGACAGAGGACGCUCUCCGUCUGACCGCUGCGGCUGAUAAAGCAGCUAAAAGUAUGACUCUGACGAUCUCUUCUACAGAAGUGAAAGACUCUGCCAUGUACUACUGUGCCCUGGUGCCCACAGUGACAGGAAACACAACUACACUGUACAAAAACAGAGUGAGAAAGGAUAUUUAAGACAGAAGACGAUGCACAAUGCAGAUUUUAAAACUACACUCUUUAUAAAGUGGACAAUCAAUUGUUACCUUUCGGAAUAGUUUCUAAACCCAUGUACAGUACAACUGGUAGUGUCCUCACCAUUAAUAUUAUCAGACCACUUCUUAAUACAGAUAUGAAAAGCAACAUAAAUGUUUGAAACAUUUAAUAUCUGUACAGUGCCAUUGCAAUGUUUGUGUAAUAUCAGCUUAUUUAUAUACUGUCUGUACUUGUAGGAUAAAAUGAGUGAAGGUACUGUAUGUGUGGGAGGAGCUUAGGAUUUUGUCAACUUCAGUGGAAGAAAUCAAAAAGACAACACUGACUUUCUUUCAUACAGAUCCUGAUAGAAGUCUCAACUCAAAAGAAACAGAAGCAUGUUACUCAUCUCAUCCAUUUUCAUUUUAAUCCUCAGUUACUGUGAAUCUAAUGGAAAUGUCAUCAGACCAAACCAGCCGUCUGUAGUUUUAACUGAAGGAAGCAGCACCACUCUGUCCUGUUCAUAUGAUCGAUCAGCUUACAGUCUUCACUGGUAUCGACAGAAGCCUGGAUCAAAACCAGAGUUUCUGCAGCUGAUUGUUGAGUCUUCCAAGUAUGUCAACAAAGCUGACCAACCUCAUCCACAUAUGUCCAUCAGACUCCAUGAUAAUAAAAGUGUGGAUCUGGAGAUCUCCUCUGCUGCUGUAUCAGACUCUGCAGUGUAUUACUGUGCCCUGGAGCCCACAGUGACAGGAAACCCCUCUACACUGUACAAAAACCUUCUUAUUAUCUGCCUGAUGAACAGUCAUAUUUCUCUACCAUGA
ensembl:lncRNA